GUGCCAGCAGCCGCGGUAACACGUAGGAUCCAAGCGUUAUCCGGAUUUACUGGGCGUAAAGCGCGUGUCGGUGGUUUGUUAAGUUGGGUGUUAAAUCUCUCGGCUCAACUGAGAGGUGUCGCUCAAAACUAGCAGACUGGAGGACGGUAGAGGAAGGUGGAAUUCCGGGUGUAGUGGUGAAAUGCGUAGAUAUCCGGAGGAACACCAGUGGCGAAGGCGGCCUUCUGGACCGCUCCUGACACUCAAACGCGAAAGCUAGGGGAGCAAACGGGAUUAGAUACCCGGGUAGUCC
rnacentral:rRNA from 1 species